CUGGGAUUACAGGCGUGAGCCACCGCGCCCGGCCAACCAGAACACUGGAUUUCUAAGAUUUCUGUGGGGGACUGGGAGUAGGGAUAAAUGAUGCUGAUGGAUCCUUCCUAGACUCAGUGCCCAUCUGGGGACCUGGUCAGGGUGGGGUGGGGAGUGGUGUUGCGGUGUAAAGAAUAAUGAAUUAAAGGAAACCUGAGACUCCCUCCUUCUCUAGCUUGGGGGAGUUCCCCUUUCCACCUAGAAAUUCUUCCGUUGCUCUUGCAGACUGAAGAAGCCUGCCCUCUCUGGAGUCUCCCUCACCUUUAUCUUCCUCCCCACUACCUUUCUCUUUUUCUCCUCCUCUAAAGGUAGGAUGUCUGAGAUCUCGAAUUCACCAGAUUUCAGAAAUCGGAAGGGGCAGGGAGCUCAAUUCUAGGCUUUGCUGUGCAACAGUUUCUAAUUAUGCCCUUGGAAAUAGCUGUAAACGCCAAGGACGCUUUUGAGUUACUCCUUUGUUUCUGGGAGAGCAAGUCCUGAGGAGGCAGAGAGGUGACUCAGUGGGAUCCCCGUUGGAAAUCAGUUACCUCCAUUGUAUAGAUGCGGAAACCAAAGCUCAGAGGUCCAGCACCACCAUCACCUACUCCAAGUGACCAUCCCUGACUGCUCCAUCUGAAUGUUGUUUCAUCUGUAUCUCUGCCUUACCACUCCACAGCAUUUAUCAUGAUCUGCAGCUAUCUUUUAUUUCUAUUUGAUUUCUUGUUUCUUGUCUGUCUCUUCCCCUAGAAUGUGGAUUUCACCCCCUAAGGGCAGGAAUUCUUGUCUGUUUUUUUUCCCACUUCUUGAUUCCUAGCCCCUAAAAUAGUACCUGACAAUAAAUGUUGAAAGACAGAGGGGCAGAAGGAAACAAAGAAAUACAGGCUAAAUGACUGAGGGAAUAAAUGAAUGAAUGAAUAUAUACAUGUAAGGCUAAAUAAAUAAAAUGGGAUAAAUGAAUAAAAGGGACUUUGGGGGAAAGGGACCCCAUUCCCACAUUUGGAAUGUAAACAGACUGAGAUUUAUAGAGAGACAGAAAGACAAUUCUUUUAUUUUUCUUUAAAAAUCCUUGAGUGAAGAGAACUGAGAAUUUUUGUAUAAAAAGGGCCUUGGGAUUGUUGGGUGAGUGUGAGGACCAGGCAGGGAUAACAGCAUUGGAGGGGUUGGUGGGGAAGAAAUGGGGGGUUGGGGGCCUGGAAGAGGAGAGUGGAGGGUGGGCACAGAGCAGGUGGAGGGGGAGCCAUGUCCUGCGGGGAGGAGCACAGGGCAGCAAGUAACUCAGCC
rnacentral:lncRNA from 1 species